rnacentral:lncRNA from 1 species
GAAAAAGAAGGAGGGAGAGAAAUUCUGCUGCUAUGAUUGUGUUCCAUGUCCAGAAGGGACCAUCUCUAACCAGAAGGGUAGGAGCAAUACUUUUUCUCUAGAAAAAUAGGUGACGCUACUCAACAUGAACGCGUUUAACAAAUUAUACUUGGCAAGUAUUGUUUACCCCAAUAAAUCAUAGGAAAAUCCUGGAAGAGAAAUUAUGAUGCUAGUUCCCACCGUCCAUGCCAUGGGUCUGGGGUGUGUAGGUCUUCUUUUAAGCCCAUUAAAUAUUUCUACCAUUUCCUUCAGUCUCCCUGAUUGCUCUCAAUUCCUUAUUUGAAAAGAUCUUUUGUCAUGACAUCUUCUCCUGGCUUUGAAUGCUAAGUGCUUGAAAAUGUUAACAGGCUGUAUGUUAAAAACAAGUUCUUCCUUUUACCUUAAGAAAUGUAUUUAUGGUUUCUUUGGAAGUAGAAAUAUUUCAAUCAAAUGAACAGCUGCCAGGUGAAUCAUGGGGUAUCUCAAAUAAAGCUCAGCUGAGGAUCAUGGUAUUCAGGAAGCAUGGGUAUGUGGGAAGGGUUGUAGAAUAAAGGAAAGCACAUCUAAAAACCCAGCAACCAGAAAAAUAAAUAUGUGCAACAAAAGUCCUGCACAACACUCAAAUAAAUUUCACCAAACUUUCCUUUCCCCUUUGAAAUAAAGUUAAAUGUAUGGAAACUUUCCACAACAGGAACAGUCACAACAAAAUAAUUAUAACAACAACAACAACAACAACAACAACAACAACAACAACAGAGUAUUGGAAUAAGACAACAGCCUAGUGCAUUCAUGGUUUUCAACGAGAGCAGAAUUUACUAUUUCAUGGAAAAACUAUCUAGUAGACCAGUUCAGCAUCAUCCAGACUUUCUCACUGAAAUCAUGAGUGUCCUUUGGUUGGUCAAAGAACGGCAUGAACACAAAAAGCCCUUUCAUUUCUCUUUAAAAUAAGAUUUUAUCAAGGCUUUUUCACAAUACAACAAGUCAAAAGAAGCCACACUACAUAAAAACAGAGCUAGAACUAGAAUGCAGAGUCCUCCCUCCAAAGCUGCUCUUGACUCUGGUCUCACUCAGAAAGUGGGGGCCCUUCUAGCUCUCACCUGAGAGCUUUUGUUUUCCCAGUCCCUCACCUUGGGAGGUUUUCCCUUCCCUGCCUCUCACUCAGCUAUUUGCCCCCCAUGUGUGCACAAUCACCUAACAACAGCCCAGAGCAAAGGAAACCCAAAGAAAGUGUUAAAUGUUUGGAACAAGUCAGAAGCCCAAGGCAGUAUAAGUUCCUCAACUACGUUUAUUUAACAUUUGUCAAUGACAACAGCUCACUCAUAGGAAAACAAGAACCGAACUGACUGGCCAACACAAAAAUAGUGCCGAGCAUGAACUGACUGUUGACAGUUGACAGUUGAAAGUGCAUGCGUUUACAUGCCAUUAGACCGUUCGUCUACCAACGCUUAUACGAUUGGUUAGAACGCGCCUUCUAACAUAAAAUGUGUUAAACCCAAUACAUAACAGAAAGCAAAAGAAAGAGGAAAGGGAGAGGGAGGGGAGGAAUUUCACUGCCUGCCGUAACUGAUUCUUUCAGGAGAUGUAGGUCAUUAUCUUGACAUUUUUAAUUGUUCCGUCUUCUCCCCCUCCACCCUCCAGAUAUGGAUGCCUGUGUCAAGUGUGCAGAAGAAAACUACCCAAACCAGGACCAAACAGGGUGUAUUCCAAGGGGCUGAGCUACCUCUCCUACCAAGAAAAGUUAGGGCUCAGCUUAGCUGUCUCUGCUCUGGCUUUCUCCUGAUCACCACCUUCGUGCUGGCGACUUUUGUGAAGCACAAGGACACUCCCAUUGUCAAAGCCAACAACCGCAGCCUCACCUACCUCCUCCUCAUCUCCCUCCUUCUCUGCUUCCUCUGCUCCUUGCUCUUCAUUGGUCAGCCUGGAAAAGGGACCUGCCUCUUCCGACAAAUGACUUUCAGCAUUGUCUUCUCGGUGGCCCUUUCCAGUAUUCUGGCCAAAACCAUCACCGUGGUUCUAGCAUUCAUGGCAACCAAGCCAGGAUCCAGAAUGAGGAGAUGGGUGGGGAAGGGGCUGGCCAACUGCGUGGUCUUUUCCUGCUCUUUCCUUCAAGCUGGCAUUUGCACCCUUUGGCUAAGUGCUUCCCCUCCAUUCCCAGAUACAGACAUGCAGUCACUGAAGAGUGAGAUCAUCCUUGAGUGCAAUGAGGGUUCAGCUGCCAUGUUUUAUUGUGCUUUGGGCUAUAUGGGUUUUCUGGCCGUUGUGAGUUUCCUUGUGGCUUUCCUGGCCAGAAAGUUACCGGACAGUUUUAACGAGGCCAAAUUCAUCACGUUUAGCAUGUUGGUUUUCUGCAGUGUUUGGCUGACCUUUGUUCCAACCUACCUGAGCACCAAAGGGAAAUACAUGGUAGCCGUGGAGGUCUUCUCCAUCUUGUCCUCCAGUGCUGGCUUACUGGGUUGCAUCUUUUUCCCUAAAUGCUACAUCAUUGUGCUGAGGUCUGACCUGAACAACAAGGAAAGCCUAAUAAGGGGAAGAAAAUAAAUAAUGGGCAUAUCCUUCACUGACCUUAAAUGGAGAAGUCUCAUGAUCUUUGAUAAAUUUGUGUCUCGUCUCUUUUCCUCUCUGUUGUAUUCAUAUUUCUUGACCCACCCAGACAUCUUGAUGAUUUAUGCUCAUCAUGUCCACAAAAUAUUUCAGGUGGUCAUAGCUUCACUUCCAAUCAGUGCAUAUCACAUAAUUUCCUGCAACCUAUUAUUCCAUAAAUGUUUUGGUAUAUUUGUGUCCUGUUUGGCUUGCGCUACUGCAAUAAUUUGGUUGCACAGGCAAAGUAUCCCAGAACACACUGAAGCAGAAUAGAGAUACAAAUAAUGCACUAUUACAGAACGUGUUACAAAAUACCCCUACAAUAAAACACCAAUCUGGAUGGCUUCCUUUUUUCGUCAUCAUCAUCAUCAUCAUCAUCAUCAUCACGAUCAUCAUAUAUGCCUUCCAUCUGACUAGGUUGCCCCAGCCAUACUGGGCAGCUCCCAUGAAUUUUUUAAAAUACAAUGAAACAUCAACCAUAAAGAACUUCCCUGAACAUGGCAGCUUUCAAAUGUCUUCUAAAAGUCAAAUAGUUGUUGAUCUCGUUGACAUCCGAUGGGAGGGCGUUCCACAGAGAGGGCACCACUGCCAAGAAGGCCUGGCUCCCUGUAACCUCACUUCUUGCAGUCAGAGACCCAUCAGAAGGCCUUUGGAGGUGGACCUCGGUGUCCAGGCUGGACGAUGGUGUCUCCACAGAUGACUUCAGAGAAAGAGUUUGCUUGUUUCCUCAGCAUAAGCAGGCUCUCUUAUGACCUCCCAGGGGAUUUGGAGUAGCAAAGUUGAGAAAGAAUCUAGACUGAAAAACUAAUAGAGCCAUCACUUGUCACUAUAUUGAGUUUUGUAGGUCCUGAAGAUAUUUUUUAAUGGGUUUUGAAAAUCCCGUUGAUGGUCAAAAUAUAGAUUUGAAGAUGCUUGGGCCCCAGACCUUUUGACCCCCAUUUUUAUUACAUCAUUCAUAUGACUAAUACUGCAUAAAUGAAUUCUUUUGACCAUAAGAUAUUAUAGGCAAACAAUAUUAGAACAGAUUUGUUAAAGGAGAUGUUCCCAUCAUCAUGAUGAAACUGGGCCUCAAAUUUCCCCAGAUUGUGAUUCUACCUUAAAAUAUGGUAUUUCACAUUAUAACAAAAAUGAAGACUUGUUGGGCAAUGCCUAAUAUCAGGGAUGUGUAGUUAAAUUUACUCUAACUUGAGCAGAGGCAGCUUGGACCUACUGAGCUACGUGUCACAUAUUCCUAACUACUCUUCAAAAGAGAAAAUAUGAGUUGUAGGACUCCAGGGAGGCAAAGUGGGUGGACUCCUCACAGGUUCAAAAAAAAUGCAACUUCAAAAACAAGGGGCACCCUGGGGAAUAGAUAGUCACCCCUAUCAUUACCAGAAUUGCUGGUUUCCAUCCGACUGACAACAAAAAGUGCUUCCAGGGAUCUGUAGCACAUCAACCAUCAGUUUCUGAAAGAAGUUACAAAAGUCUCAUAAUUUUUAGAACAAGAGAUAGGCAAGAUUCUGUAUCAUUCGUUAAUCAUCAUUCCCGCUUCAUAUGUUGAUGCAUUUCUCUUUGGCUGCUGUAUCUUCCACUUCCCAGAUUUUAUUUGAAAUCCUGUUUUGGCAUUAUUUCUGUUCCUUUGCACAAACCGAUUUGCAAAGUUUCACCCUUUCUGCCUGCUUUACAUCAGGGCAUUGAUAACUUUACCUGUAUAUGAGGUAUUUCCCCUUUUUAAAGUAAUUACCACUCACCCCUAAGGAAUAAAGUCAACAGAAAAAUGAUUUGAUCCAGAUUAUUUUCAUGAAAGCUAGCUCCUGCUGAAAUCAAUCCUGAUCAAAGCCACAUGCAAUUCUGCAGAGGGAAACAUGGGAAGCUGCUUUUUGUGGGAAGAUCCUCUCCACAGAAGGAUCCUGCUGGUUGUGAUGUUGCUGCUUGUGCUGCUGUGUCAUAGUGUUUGCCAGGCAUAUUCCAUGAAUUGCAGCAUACGUGACGAUCCCCUCCCUAUUCCUCAUGAGUUUUACCUGCCGGGAGACCUGGUCAUCAGUGCAAUUGUUUCUCAGGUCUUCUUGCUCUACAAUCUCCUCUCUUUCAUGGAACAGCCGACACAGAUUGUGAUUGAUGAGCCCAUGUAAGUCUCUCUCUCUCUCUCUCUCUCUCUCUCUCUCUCUCUCUCUCUCACACACACACACACACACACACACAAACACACACUUCUUGCAAAGUAUGUUCAGAAUAUAAUUACUGGGAAUAUGUCUUUAAGAAAAAGGUUCAUUUUUGGAGUGAGAAAAGUGUCAUGUCAGAAGCUUGUUCAUAUCUAUUUAGCCUUCCUCAUUAUACUGUUAGCACAAAGCAUUAGUAAGUUUUCUCACACAAGUGUCAUUGAAGUGUAAGGCUCUUAAGAACUUCCAUUGAGCUGUUUCUGUCUAGGUGGAGGCAUUUGCAUGUAUUUGUUUUUCUCCACACUGCUUCUUCUUACUCUUUGUUCCCUACCAUCCCUGGCCUUCAUCUGUAUCCCAUCCCAUUGUCUUUCAGUCAUCUGGUCUUUUAAACUUUCAUUUCAUAUUAUUUUGGUCCAGGCAUACCACCCUAUUCCAUCCUUCCUCUUGAUUUCAUCCUGCUGUUCCUUCAGCCUACUCCAGAUUUCAUGUGACCAGUUCCACUCAGUUGCUGCAACUGUAAAUAUAUUGAACCCACAAUCAAAUCUGAUGAGAGUAUGCAUAUGAGAGGAGCAUUUGAAAUAUUCUCUUGAUAUGCCUCUUCUGGUACCUAUUUAGAUAGGUAGAGGUAAUAUAUUAGGGGGGGUGCGUGUAAUUUUUAAAUUGGUCAUAAGACAUAUUGUAUUACAUAAAUUGGUCAUAAGACAUAUUGUAUUACAUAAUAGUGUAAUAUUGACAUACUGUAUUAUUGUAUUACACAGCACUAAGUGGGAGACGCUCUUCCGUUACCUUGCUAUUUCCAGAUAAUAAAUAAUCCCUUCUUACUUUUUGACGCAAUUUCAUCUUAUUUAUUGUUUGAUUGUAACAACUGAAAGAUGAGCUGAGAGAUGAAGAGGACACACAUAUUUUUCUUGCUUCUCUCAGUAUUUGUGUCAUCUACUACUUUUAUUACAGUUCAGUGCCAAAGAACUACCAGCACAUCCUGGCCUUAGCAUAUGCUGUCAAAGAGAUCAAUGAAAAUCCCAACAUUUUAUCAAAUCUCUCUCUGGGAUUUCACACCCUCAAUAGCUACUACACUGCAAAGACGACCUACAAGGCCACCCUCAGCCUCUUUUCUGCACGGCAUCGCUUUGUCCCCAACUUCAAGUGUCACAACCACAACAACCUGAUAGCUCUCAUUGGAGGAUGCAUCUCUGAAAUCUCUGCCAACAUAGCCGUCAUUUCAGCCAUCUACAAGACUCCACAGGUAAGCUGCGUGCAUGCAAGUACUGAUAGUUCAGAGUUGUGGCACAAUAUCAUGAUUUCAAAAACAUGGCCUGCGAUAUUUUGAAUAGCCAACUGGUUAAAUGCAGUCCAAGUGAUAAUACUACCAGGUUUAUUCACAGCUCUUUGAAAACAGGGCUGAUCCUGGAGGUAAAUCAGACUUGAGAUAAAUUUGCAGUGAAGUGACUCAGGGCUUUGUCAUUUCUCAGAUACAGUUCAACAUUUUUAUCCAUGAUUUACUCCAGAGCUGGGAACUCUCAGGAUGCUGUGGGACACAGAGGCUGGGGAGAAGUCUUCUGUGGGGCCCUGUAGAGAAACCCAGGACAACCAAAUAUCUGGAGGAAUCAGCAAUGGUCCUAAGGCCACCUCAAGUCCCUGUUCAAAUCUAUGACUCACUUGGCCCACUAAUCACCUCCUUCCCAAUAUUAAAGCCUUGUCUUAUUCCCCAAUUUCCCCCUUUGUCUCAUGGACCUAAAGUUGGAUAGUGGCAGCUAGAGAUGGAAAAUUUCUUAAAAUCAAUCAGAAGAGGGAGGUUUGAGGAAGUUGCACACUUUUUUUGCAGAAGCCGAUCUCAUGCCUCACAGGCAAGAGCUUGUGAACAGUCUUCAAUACUGAUCUUUCAAUAAACUUCUCACUCCAGAGUUCUCUUCAGGUUUUUCAAUCUUUGAUGUGAACCUCAUAGCUCUGCUCAGCCCACUCUCACCGUGUUUGCAGUUCCCAUCCUAUCCAAGAUGAUUGUUGUAUAUUGGACCUAUCUGUGCCCUUUCUAGCAUAUUUAAGUGAUGGGGUUUUUUAUUAUUCUGUUAGAGAAGAACUUUUAAAACAUAUUUUUUAAAUCUUAUUUCUUUAAGAAUUAUUAUCAAUAAUCAACAAAACUACCCCCAAAAUAACUUUGCAUCACAAUGUUACAUAAGUAAAUGUAAUUUAUUCAGAAAAAAUUAAAAAUGUACUUGAAGUUGCUUUUGCAGGAGAUAAUUAUUUCCAUGGCAAUGUUGUAUAGAGGGCCUCCAGUUUUCCUAGCAUCUAUUUCUAUAUUAAUUGCCACUUUUGAGAUUAAAUAAAAUCUAUUUUUUGGGCCAUUCUUAUCAAAUCCCAAAACUUCAUCAAAUCAUUCUUUCCAGGAAAUGAGAAAAGUAACUUUCCAUUUUAAAGCCCAUAGCACCCCUGUAGCUAUGAUAGGUGACAUAUAGCUCAACAAUGUCCAUGGCCAUCAUACCCACUAAGGGCCAAGCUGAAGUAUCUACAUGAAGCAAACCAGCAUAAUGAAAACCGUGGGCACUAAAUGAGCAGAGACAUAGCAGGGAGCCCUAUUCCUACUGUAGCCAAAUCUGUGGGAAACCGAAUCUCCUUGCUACCAGAAGGCAGUAUCAAGCGAGGAAGGCAGGGAAGUGUCUACCCCGGAGCAUGACAAAAAAAGUGUCUCAGGAGAUGGUGGGUGGGGACUUUGCUCUUAUUGUAGAUGUAAUCUUCUCUGUCUGCUCUGGACACUACUUUAGUGAACAGCUCUGUACUGAGAUCUUUCCUUUCCAACCCACUUGCUCAGCUCACCAAUUCCCUGUUUCUGCUCUGACUGCCAGAGACGGCUCUGGAACAUUUGUUCUAUUGUAUAUAAACUUCUGGGGUCGACAUGCCAGUGGCUAAAUGGUUUGGUGGCAAAACAGAGAAGACCACAUGAAGAAUACUUGUGCAUUUUAUUUCAGCUCACUUAUGGAUCAUUUUUGCCAAUACAACAUGCCAACACUUUAUACCCCUUUUUGUACCAGAUGGUCCCAAAUGAAGCCCAACAGCACAUCGGGGUUGUGCAGUUACUCAGACAUUUUGGAUGGACAUGGAUUGGGCUCUGGGCUGUGGAUGAUGACAAAGGGGAUCAGUUUUUGCAGACAAUGGCCCCAAUGCUUGAUGAAAACGGCAUCUGUUAUGCCUUCAUCAUGAGAAUACCAAAAUGGAAUUAUGUGGAUGAGAUUAUAGAAUAUGUUUUACAACGUGUAGAAUACUAUUUAACUGUCUUCAAGGAGAAAGCCAGUGUGUUUUUUGUAUAUGGAGAACCUCCAUCCUUUCAGGCUUUGAGAAUGCUCAUUUUUGUAGCACCAUUCUUGGAAUUGCCAUUCCGGGGCAAAGUCUGGAUUGUUACAUCUCACUGGGAUUUUGCAUCACACUCUAUUCAAAAGAAUUGGGAUUUACAAACCUUCCAUGGGUCCAUAUCUUUCACAGUUCACUCAAAUCAGCCUGAGGGUUUCCAAAAGUUCCUUCAGAUGGUAAGACCUUCAUGGUUCAAAAGAGAUGGCUUUAUUCAAUACUUCUGGGAACAGGCUUUUGGCUGUUUGCUAACAACGUCCAAGGAGUGGGAAGGAGAGGAGAAUAAAACCUGCACUGGGGAAGAGAAUCUGGAGAGUCUUCCUGGAGGUUUGUUUGAAAUGAAAAUGACUGGCCACAGCUACAAUGUCUACAAUGCUAUCCAUGCUGUGGCACAUGCUCUGAAUGCUAUAUUCCAGUUCAAAUCCAUGCAUAGAAGAUUGAAUGAAGGACGAAAAACGGCAUUUCAGAAUGUGGAACCAUGGCAGGUAAUUAAAUCAGAUAAUUUUUUAGGUAACUAAGUUCCCACCCCUGCAGUCCAGAGUUGUGUAUUGGGUGGAAGGAGGAGAGGAGAGGUGCUACGGUGGAGAGAAGAAGUGGAGUAAAGAGGGCUGGUUUUCAAAUUUGGCUCUUUGCCAUUCCUGUCAGCAGAUAGUGGGUUGCCUGCAGAGGAGGGAGCCCAAGAUGAUCAAGGCUCUGGAAAUGAAGCCUGACAAGGAACAGUCGAGGGAGUUGCGUAUGUUUAGCCUGGAUAAGAGAAGAGUGAGAGGAGAUGCGAUAGCUAUCUUCAGGUAUCUCAAGGGCUUUCCCAUGGAAGAUGGAGCAGAUUUGUGUUCUCCUGCUCUGGAGAGUAGGACCGAAACCAAAGGUGUCAAGUUACAAGAAAGGAGAUUCUGAAUGAACAUCAGGAAGAACUUUCAUUAGUAGUAGUAGUAGUAGUAGUAGUAGUAUUUAUUAGGUUUUUCAAAAACAUUAAAUCAAUUUACUUCGCAUACUCUUUUAUAUAUAUAUAUUUACUUCCCAACCCUCCCAUGUUGUUGUUUUUAUUCUUAUCCUUAAUCACUGUAUUAUACUUGUCAGGAAGAAAUUUCUACCAUGAAGAGCUGUCAUGGAUGCUUGAGCUGAGAUUCUUGCAUUGCAGGGGGAACUCUCUUGUUAUCUAUCUAGAGGACAAAACAGAAACAAAGGGAAUAAGAUUUUAAGGAAUAAUGAUGUGUCCUUUGAGGUCAGCUAGGAUGCUUAUCAUUACCAACUGUUGCAGUUUUUCGAUUUCAUUUGCCUUUUUUUUUACUAGAUAGAUGAUAGAUAGAUGAUGAUGAUGAUGAUAGAUGAUUAUAGAUGAUAGAUAGAUUUGAUAGAUAGAUAGAUGAUAGAUAGAUAUAGAUAGAUGAUAGAUAUAGAUAGAUAGAUAGAUAGAUAGAUAGAUAGAUAGAUGAUAGAUAGAUAGAUAGAUGAUAGAUAUAGAUGAUAGACAGAUGAAAGAAAGAACGAUAGACAGACAAACAAACAAACAGACUGAAUUCAUAAAACCGGCUACUUUUCCAAAUUUCUGAAUCUUAUCUAACAGCCUUGGUAUGUUGACCAGGGGUUCUUCAACUGUUAUCACAAGGUUGUCCACAAAAGCUUUCAGUUUAUAUGCUUUACUCCCCACCGUAAUUCCUUUUAUUCCUUCAUCUGCUCUUAUAUUUCUUGCUAGGAUGUCUUAGACUAGUAUAAGCAGUAAUGGUGACAUGGGACAACUCUGUCUUGUUCCCUUUGUAAUUCCACAUUUUUCAGUUACUACAUUAUUCACAAUCAGCAUGGCUUUCUGCUCAGAAUAUAUAGCGUCAAUUCCUCUAAGGAAUGGCUCUCCAAAUUCCAUCAUUUCCAUUGUCUUUUUCAUAAUAAUCCAAGAAACAUUAUCAAAGGCCUUCUCUGUAUCAAUAAACCUCAAAUCCGCUUGCUUUUCAUUCCUGGCCUCCAGAUACUCUUUUAUGUCUAUUAUAUUCCUUGUAUUAUCUUUCAUCUGGCAGCCAGGUAGAAAGCCAGUUUGAUCUUGGUGGAUUGUUUCUUUUAACACUGUUUUCAAACAGUUUGCCAAAAUAUUGGCAAAUAAUUUGUAGUCAUUAUUCAAUAGUGAGAUCGGCCUGUAAUUUUUAACUAAAAGUAAAUCUGAAUCCUGUUUCGGAAAUAAUGUAAUAUAAACAAGAAUCUGGCAAUUGACUCGAAUUCAUUAUCCUAUUCAUUACAUCUUUCAAUGGUUGUGCCAACUGAUCUUGCAGAUUUUUUGAAAUAUUUAGCUGAAAGUCCAUCUGGUCAUGGCAAUUUCUCUAAUUUAGCUUGUCCUCUUGCUUGUUGCAGUUCCAUCAUCAUUAUUGGUGCAUUUAAAAGGUUUAUCUUUUCUUUUGGAAUCUUUUGUAGGACAUUCUACUUUAAAUAUGGAUCAAUUUUAUCUUCAUUUUCCAAUCCAACUUCCUUGCUUUUUAAAAAAAAAACUGCUAUGCUAGCAAUUUUCCUCAUUUGUUUGCAAACUCAAAAUUUGUGUUUUAUCAAUUUUAUUUUCCAUUCAAUUUCUUGAUUUACCAACAUUGAAAAUUAGGUUUGUAACAUCUUUAUAUUCUGUUUUGUUGAUUCAUUUCCUGUUUUUUUAAUUAUUUGUUUUUCGUGUUUAAUCAGUUCAUCGAGUAACUCUUUCUUUUUCUUCUCUCUUCUCUCUCUCUCUUUUUUUUGCAGAGUAUUUUGUUGUAUAAAAAAACCUCUCAUUACUGCUUUAAUUGUGCCCCAAACCACAUUUAUAUCCAUACAUUGCUUCAAAUUUAGUUCAAAAUAAUCUCUCAGGGUUUUCCCCUGCUUUCUGCAAGGUAAUUUUUAUUGUCUAAUAAGCUUUUGUUUAGUCUCCAUCUGAAAGGUGAGUUUUCUUCUCUUCUUAAUUCCAACAGUAAUGAAAUAUACUCCAAGAGUGUCCUAGGUUGUAGCUCCACUUUUUUAGUUUUUAAUGUUAGUUCAUUAGAUAUCCAUACUGAUUAGAUAUCCAUACUGAGUUGAUUCUUCCCACAGAUCAAUUUGGCUCUGAGAAAAAAGUAAAUUCUCUAUCCAAUGGGUGUUUAAAUCUCUAGUUAAUUUAAGAUUUUCUACCAUAGACUGUUCUUUCUUCAAUCCAGGUCCAUCAAUUUCUACGGAGCAUCAUAUUCAACAACAGUGCUGGAGAUACUGUAUACUUUAAUGAAAAUACAGAAUUAGUUGUAGGUUUCGAUGUUACAAACUGGAGGAGUUACCCCAAUGGUUCAGUGAUUAGAGCCAAAGUUGGAAAACUGAACCCUCAGGCUCCUUUCGGCAAAAAGUUAACCAUUUAUGAUGAUCAGAUUGUGUGGCAUAAAAGCUUUAAUCAGGUGAGAUGUAGCAGUCUGAGACCAGACCUGGAUGUACACUGACCUUUUUAAUGUCAUUAGAAUGAUUUUAACUAUAUCGUUCUAAAACAUAAUUGCUUAAAAAAGCGUUCAUUACUUACAAAAGAGCUGUUCCCCUCACUGCCUGGUUCCUGGUUGUUCUGCAGCAACCUCUGGUGUCCCAUUUUAAUAAUGCAUUAUCAACGUUCUAAGCUAAAUGUAAUGUGGCUCUUAGGUUUUGAAAAUCUUUCCUUAACCCUUUCUUAAUGUUAUAAACCAUGAAUGUAGAUCCAUCCCUGAUAUUGUAAAAAAAAAAAAAAAAUCAAUGUUGGGUCCCCUAAUGUUGUUGGGCUACGACUCCCAUCAUCAUCAGGCAGGAUAGCCAAUAAUCAAGGAUGAUUGGAGAUGUAGUAUAAUCUGCCAACAUCUAGAGAAUGGAGACUGUAUGACGGAGAGGCAAACAAGUUUCAACACUUUUGAAAGUUUCUUCCUUUCUCCAUAAUUUGUUUUGGUCAAAUCCCGCAUUAUCUCUUUUCUUGUUUAAUUACUUUAUCUCUGCUUGAUAAUGCCAUAUUCUGGGCAUGAUGACAGUAAUCCACUCCACGUUAGGCAGAGUAAAUAAUUCACACGACUGAAACCUGGCCCCCUAGUCUCUUGUCAGGGACCCCUAUUUAUGUGGUUUUCACCUGUGGCCCCUUUGGAAUAUCCUGGGGGCCUCCAGGGGGCUAUAUGGCCCCUGGUUGAGAAACGCUAAUCUAGGGUCUAACAAAUGUCCACAGACCCAUGCACACGCUCCUUAUCAUGAGGGUUCAUAUAUUCCUACUAAUCUCCUGUGCGUGUUUCUGUGCAGGGGCUGCCAGUUUCUGUGUGCAACGACAACUGCUAUCCUGGCUCCAGCAGGAAAAAGAAGGAGGGAGAGAAAUUCUGCUGCUAUGAUUGUUUUCCAUGUCCAGAAGGGACAAUCUCUAACCAGAAGGGUAAGAGGCAACAUGGACAGAGAUAUCAAGACACUCACUUAGCAUAAUAUACUUGCUCCUCCUUUCUUUGGAAAAUGUAUGUCCCCUUGAAUGCAUUCUGCAAUACAUAUGUUAAAGAAAACUAAACAAGCAACUUUAUUUUUAAAAUCUUGUUUUAAAAAAAACAAGGACAUUUUGACCUUAUGCCAGUCACUAUUUUACCAAACAGGAUUAUUGUGAAGAUCUAAUGAGGGGAAUGAUAUAUGCUGCAUUGAGAUAAUUGGAAGAAAGGCAGGAUUAAAUAACAAUAUAUUUCUAAUUUAAAACAGACUAUUAAGGGGUAUUUAAAUCACACACAUCAGCCAUAUGAUCAAUCAGAUGAAUAUUUUAAAAAUGGAAAAGUGGGAUCCAUUCUCUGGGAGUUCCGCACCUAAAGAAAAGCCCUUUACUUGAACCUUUGUCAGUCUCUGUAUUCAGAGACCUCAGGUCACAAAUAGAUUCAGGUGGCUAGGAGGCCCUUGAAGUGUAGCUGUGUUCCCACGAAGCGAGACACAGUGAUAGCAGCAAGAACCUUUAUUGAACUAACAGAACUGGCCAACAGGGGCAUAGCAACUGCUUGUAUACAUUUCUGAAGGGCUAGGCCACUCCCACUCUCAAUGUGAUUGGCUGUCUAAACUCCCAAGCUGCGCAUCAUAACUUUGAGGUUAAGGGCCAAUGGCAGUAGCCCAAAUCCUGAAACGUUCUGCGAUUGGACAUCAAGUAUCUUUUUUUUUUUUUUAAAGUAUCGAAUCAGAACACAUGGGCUCAAGCUCAGGCAAACACAGAGAACUGAAUACAUCACAGCCCUCUUCUUCCCAUUUCCUUCAAAUAUAUAUUUCACCUCUGCUUUCUUUGAAUGCAAAAAAUAUUUGAACAAAAUGAACAGUUGCCUGGCAAAUGAAAGGCUAUCUCAAACAAACCCAUUUGAGGGUGUCCUGAUGUUUUCCGGAAGCAUGGCUGCGUGGGAAGGGUUGUAGAAGGAAGGCAAACAUCAAAGCUCCCAUGAACAAGAGAGGGAAGUCAGUGCAGAAGGGACCUUGCUGCUGCCAAGAGGCUGGAAGGAAAAGCACUCCCUUCUGCAAGGUCCAUGUCCAGCUAUCCUAGGGAGCCCUGAAAGGCUCCUCAGAGGCUCAACAACUUCAACAAAAAAGAAUAGGGCAAGCCUAGUUUUACAAUGUUUUAAACGGUUCUAAUUUUGGUUCCUCUGUUUUGCUUUUGUCGAGUUGGGGUUGGGGUUGGUUAGAUCUUUAGUUGGGGUUGGUUGUCAUUUUAAUGUGGGUAGAACUAAACUGUUAUUAUAGUUAUUAUUGAUUUAUUGGUUUGUUUGUUGUGUGUAUAGGAUAUUCUCUUUUUUAAUGUUUGAUGUUUUGUUGUGUUUUUAUAUCGGGUCUAAGCCACCCAGAGUGACUGUGGAAACCCAGCCAGAUGGGCGAUAUAAGAAUAAAAUUAUUGUUGUUAUUAUUAUGAUUAUUGCUGCUGCUGCUGCUGCUGCUACUACUAAUAAAAGAAGCCGUGCACAGGAAGCACAAAAUUGUCACCAAACUUUUCUUUUCCCUUUUGGAAUACAUUUUAUUUUGUAAUUAAUUUAUGAAGAUUUUCAAUAACAACAAGCAGAUACAAAUAUACUAUGGGAAUAAUUGAACUUCCUAGUGCAUUCUUGGUUUUAGAUGAGAUCUGCAUCUACUAGACCCUCCAAGGGUCCUUAUUUUCCAGGGACAGUCCUGGUUUUACAGAAGCCAUCCUGGUUUCUGAUUUGAUCCCAGAAUGCCUUGCUUUUCCUUAGGAAUUCCCUAGCUUGAUUGGGGAAAUGUUAGCGGCUAUAAAAUAAUCUGACCCCUGAGCCAUCUGAAGGCAACCCUGUAUGUUUAAUGUUUUCUGAAUGCUUAAUGUUCUAUUAUGUUUUUAUAUCUGUUGGAAGCUACCCAGAGCAGCAGGGCAAAGUAUAAAUAAUAAAAAUAUGUUUAUGUAACUGGACAUCCCUAUUUUCAUCAGAGGAAUGUUAGAGGAUAUGCAUGUACUAGACCAAGCUCAGCAACAUUCAUUUUUUUUUUUAUAAUUGAUAUCUAUUAAGUUUUCAAAGAAUAACAACAAAAGUUUCCAAAAAAUUUUGAAAAUACAAAAAGCAAAAAUAGUACAUAAACAAAAAGAAAAAGAAAACCCAGCCGCAAAGAAAAAAAGGAAAAACAGAAAAACAAAAAUAUAAAGUCCUUUACAAUCUCUAUUUACUUCCUUUCUAGACUUCCUCCUCCUCCCUCUCUUGUUUCUUAAUUUUAAAUUUUUACAGCAAAUCCUUUCUGUUUUUUCAUAACAAUCUGUCAUUACGUUUCCUUAUUCUAUUUUCCCUCUUGUCAUAUAAAAACUUUAAAACUCAUAGCUUAUAUUCGAUAUUUACCAAAUUCUUACAUCAUUACCUUUUUACGAAUCAUUUACCAAUCCUUACUUAAGCCAUGUAAUUUCAUUCAACAUCCUUCAAACAUUUAUAAACAUUCCCAAUAUUAAAAAUAAAAAGGAAAAAAUAAUAAGUCAAAUUCAGUCCAGUCAGCUUCCAACCUCCCUCCCCUGGACCCGGGAUUGUCAGUCCUUUUAACCUCAAUAAUCCGGCUCCUUAACCUGGUUGUCUCGUAUCCGAGGCCCUCAAGUCUCUUUCUUGCCCCUUUCGCCACUCUUGUUGAUGAUUCCCUUCCAGUCGUGGAUACUCCAGCAAGAAAAUGCUUUUGACUCUUUGCAGCAAGUCCAUCCCAAACCCAUUGCCCAAGCCAGACAGCAGAUAAUACCACUUCAAAUUUCCACAAAGCUUGGAGACUUCGGCUACUCCAAUCCUCUGAUAGCCUAUCACUAGACUCGGAAGGUCCAAAUAACCAUAUAGAGGGGGGUCGAUCCAUCCCCCCAUUUCCAAAUCUGACCACAUUUCAUCUUUCCGAAUCUGGUUUGUCCCAAGUUCAUUUGUCAAGUUCAAAGGCUGAUCUCGCCCGUCCAAAGGUCCCUCCAUCUCUGAAGCCUCCGUCACUACAGCAGGUUCAUAUGCUUGUAUAGCCUUUAACUGAAUUUCAUUUGUUUGCUGCUGUGCUCUGGUAACUUCCAUCAUCAAGGUCGUCUCCUGACGCAUCUGGUCCAGCUGGGCACUUAGUUUUGAAAAACCUUCCAGGAACAAUUGUUCAAGCCUUUGUACUAGCAUUGUCCUUCAAGGUCAAAGAAAAUUCUUUCCCACGACAAUAGUCCAAUAGUCCUUCUCUUUUAAACUCUCUGCGUUGCAAUUUCACUAAAUUCCACUAGAUGGAAAUUUUUUUUAAAAAAAGAAUAAAAGCAACAGCAACAAUCUUUCUUUUUCCAGAAACACUUUAUCCAAAAUUCCCCCUUCCAAAUUCAAGAGGCAACAGUAGAAUCAAAAUGUUACCCUUCUUUUAACUAACUGUCGAGCUGGAUAAACUUCAAAACGUCAAUUCUGACAGCCCGCUCCUGGUUCAGGGCGGUGGAAAAUUGCUUUAUUUUAAACUCACUUCCGCAGGAUUGAAAAAUCCAAAUACAACCCCUUCUUCUCCUGCAGUCAAAGGGGGUUCAGAAAUCUUAGAUGUUGAAUUCUAGUUCUCUCAGAAUUUAAUUUUCAAGCUUUAGUAUAUUUUGUCUUUGCUUUCUUCACGUAACAAAAGAACGGAAGGCUGACUUCCUGUUUAGACCUUCGCGUUCCGAGUCCCAAUUGAGUUCAAUUUCAAGUCCAAUAUUAUUUGACUUCCGGGGUGGCGCCUCCGGAAAAUGGCGGAAUUCCCUUCGGACUGAAGGGAACCCGCUGCACGGAGGCUUGGGUCCUGCCGCUACGGCGCAGCGGGGACCCUCAAAAAACACAGGCGGAAGAAGCCUGUGGACGUGGGACUCGGCGGGCACAGAGAGCGCUCUCUCCCCUUGUACAGGAGCCCGGUAACGGGCUCCGGAGUGGGAGGUGCGUGGUGCUGUGAGUCGACUGCUUCCUCCGUGCAGCAAAGCCGCACUGCCGUUAUCGGAGAGCGCUGCCUUUUUCCUGGACAAUUUGGCAUCUAAAACAUCUAUCCGUGAGUACCUGAUCUUGGAAGAGUUGAACUACUUUUAAGACUGGUGAAUAAGCUCAGCAACAUUCAAACCCUCUCCCUGAAAUUAUGGGUGUCCAAUCUCUUGCAGUUUGUCAAACAAUUUCAAGAACACUUUCACUGCCUGCCGUAACUGAUUCUUUCAGGUAGAUGUAGGUCAUCAUCUUGACAUUUUUAAUUGUUCCAUCUUCUCCCCCUCCACUCUCCAGAUAUGGAUGCCUGUGUCAAGUGCGCAGAAGAAAACUACCCAAACCAGGACCAAACAGGGUGUAUUCCAAGGGGGCUGAGCUACCUCUCCUACCAAGAAAAGUUAGGGCUCAGCUUAGCUGUCUCUGCUCUGGCUUUCUCCCUGAUCACCACCUUCGUGUUGGCGACUUUUGUGAAGCACAAGGACACUCCCAUCGUCAAAGCCAACAACCGCAGCCUCACCUACCUCCUCCUCAUCUCCCUCCUUCUCUGCUUCC